rnacentral:rRNA from 1 species
CAAGGCUUGACAUGGAUUCGCACCAGCCGUAAUGGGCUGUUCCUUCGGGACGGAUUCACAGGUGCUGCAUGGCUGUCGUCAGCUCGUGUCGUGAGAUGUUGGGUUAAGUCCCGCAACGAGCGCAACCCUCGCCCUUAGUUGCCAUCAUUUAGUUGGGCACUCUAGGGGGACUGCCGGUGAUAAGCCGGAGGAAGGUGGGGAUGACGUCAAGUCCUCAUGGCCCUUACGGGCUGGGCUACACACGUGCUACAAUGGCGGUGACAGAGGGAUGCAAAGGGGCGACCCUUCGCAAAUCUCAAAAAACCGUCUCAGUUCGGAUUGGGGUCUGCAACUCGACCCCAUGAAGUUGGAAUCGCUAGUAAUCGCAGAUCAGCACGCUGCGGUGAAUACGUUCCC